GAUGAACGCUGGCGGCGUGCUUAACACAUGCAAGUCGAACGAUGAAGCCCAGCUUGCUGGGUGGAUUAGUGGCGAACGGGUGAGUAACACGUGAGUAACCUGCCCUUGACUCUGGGAUAAGCCUGGGAAACUGGGUCUAAUACUGGAUAUGACUUCUCAUCGCAUGGUGGGGGGUGGAAAGAUUUAUUGGUCUUGGAUGGACUCGCGGCCUAUCAGCUUGUUGGUGAGGUAAUGGUUCACCAAGGCGACGACGGGUAGCCGGCCUGAGAGGGUGACCGGCCACACUGGGACUGAGACACGGCCCAGACUCCUACGGGAGGCAGCAGUGGGGAAUAUUGCACAAUGGGCGCAAGCCUGAUGCAGCGACGCCGCGUGAGGGAUGACGGCCUUCGGGUUGUAAACCUCUUUCAGUAGGGAAGAAGCGAGAGUGACGGUACCUGCAGAAGAAGCGCCGGCUAACUACGUG
rnacentral:rRNA from 1 species